rnacentral:rRNA from 1 species
UACGUAGGGGGCAAGCGUUGUCCGGAUUUAUUGGGCGUAAAGAGCGUGUAGGCGGCCAAACAGGUCAGCUGUGAAAACUCGAGGCUCAACCUCGAGACGUCGGUUGAAACCAUUUGGCUAGAGUCCGGAAGAGGAGAGUGGAAUUCCCGGUGUAGCGGUGAAAUGCGCAGAUAUCGGGAAGAACACCUAUGGCGAAGGCAGCUCUCUGGGACGGUACUGACGCUGAGACGCGAAAGCGUGGGGAGCGAACAGG